GCCUAAAUGAGGCAGAGACAGCGUCCCUGAACAUGACUAGAUGCUAAUUCUGUCGAAUAUACACGUAUUUACUGCAAAGAGAAGACUGGCGCACGUACAGGGUGAAAGGGGUUAGUGUCAUUGGACCAGUUUGCAGUGCACAGAGAAGUUGGUGUGUUGUAUACAGUUCAGUUGUCUUUUCAUCCAUUCGUCCUUCCAUCCGCCUGUGGACCUACAGAUAUGCGACCUGUUCCGUGGAGAUUGCUGUAGAUGGCUGAAGAGCUGUGUACUGGCUGGUUUCGCAUUGUUGCAGGCUCCUUGGAGAUAGAGGAAUGCAAAUCAGCAAUCAUGAUGGAAGGU